rnacentral:rRNA from 1 species
CUGAUCCUACGGGACGCAGCAGUGAGGAAUAUUGGUCAAUGGGAGAGAUCCUGAACCAGCCAAGCCGCGUGAGGGAAGACGGCCCUAUGGGUUGUAAACCUCUUUUGUCGGAGACCAAAACCCGGGACGUGUCCCGGACUGCAUGUAUCCGAAGAAAAAGCAUCGGCUAACCCCGUGCCAGCAGCCGCGGUAAUACGGAGGAUGCGAGCGUUAUCCGGAUUUAUUGGGUUUAAAGGGUGCUUAUGCGGUCCGUUAAGUCAGCGGUAAAAUUGCGGGGCUCACCCCCGUCGCGCCGUUUAACCUGG